CAGCCGCCGCGGUAAUACGAAGGGGGCUAGCGUUGUUCGGAAUUACUGGGCGUAAAGGGUGCGUAGGCGGUUUGGCAAGUCUUGUGUGAAAUCUUCGGGCUCAACCCGAAGCCUGCACGAGAAACUGCCGGGCUUGAGUAUUGGAGAGGUGAGUGGAAUUUCCGGUGUAGCGGUGAAAUGCGUAGAUAUCGGAAGGAACACCUGUGGCGAAAGCGGCUCACUGGACAAUAACUGACGCUGAUGCACGAAAGCUAGGGGAGCAAACAGGAUUAGAUACCCCAGUAGUCCCUGUCUCUUAUAC
rnacentral:rRNA from 1 species